AGAGAUUUAGUAUAAUUUUUGUAUAAUUCGUUGUCUGCGAUUUGGUUUUGGUCUUUU
rnacentral:tRNA from 1 species